UACGUAGGUGGCUAGCGUUGUCCGGAUUUACUGGGCGUAAAGAGCGCGCAGGCGGUCGUUCAAGUCGAGUGUGAAAGCCCCCGGCUCAACUGGGGAGGGUCACUCGAUACUGGUCGACUCGAAGGCAGGAGAGGGAAGCGGAAUUCCCGGUGUAGUGGUGAAAUGCGCAGAUAUCGGGAGGAACACCUAUGGCGAAGGCAGCUCGCUGGGACGUUACUGACGCUGAGACGCGAAAGCGUGGGGAGCAAACAGG
rnacentral:rRNA from 1 species